UCGAGAAUCAUUCGCAAUGGGCGAAAGCCUGACGGUGCGACGUCGCGUGGAGGAUGAAGGUCUUCGGAUUGUAAACUCCUGUCAUGAGGGAUAAAUGGCCAGGGCACGAAUACUGCCUUGGAAUGAUAGUACCUCAGGAGGAAGAGACGGCUAACUCUGUGCCAGCAGCCGCGGUAAUACAGAGGUCUCGAGCGUUAUCCGGAUUUACUGGGCGUAAAGCGUGUGUAGGCGGUUUGAUAAGUUGGAUGUAAAAGCUCCCGGCUUAACUUGGAGAGGUCGUUCAAGACUGUAGAGCUAGAGUAAGGCAGAGGUAGAUGGAACUCCGGGAGUAGUGGUGAAAUGCGUAGAUAUCCGGAAGAACACCAGUGGCGAAAGCGGCCUCCUGGACCAUUCCUGACACUCAGACGCGAAAGCUAGGGUAGCAAACG
rnacentral:rRNA from 1 species